rnacentral:rRNA from 1 species
UGGGGAAUAUUGGACAAUGGGGGGAACCCUGAUCCAGCCAUGCCGCGUGUGUGAAGAAGGCCUUUUGGUUGUAAAGCACUUUAAGCGAGGAGGAGGCUACCGAGACUAAUACUCUAGGAUAGUGGACGUUACUCGCAGAAUAAGCACCGGCUAACUCUGUG